rnacentral:misc_RNA from 1 species
CAGAGUUCAUGCCCUCACGGGUAGAUCUCCCACCCUUUGAGUACUAUACUUUUGUUGCUUUGGCAGGCCGCUUCGGCCACCGGCUCCGGCUGGUGAGUGCCUGCCAGAGGACCCCAAACUCUGAAUUACAGUGUCGUCUGAGAACUACAAAAUAGUUA